rnacentral:rRNA from 1 species
UGAGCGACCUGCCAUACCUGUGGGGGGAUAGCCGGCCCAACGGCCGGGUAAUACCGCAUACGGUCGUUUGGGGGCAUCCCUGGACGACGAAAGCUCGUAAGAGCGCAGGAUGAGGGGCUCGCGGCCUAUCAGCUAGUUGGCGGGGUAAUGGCCCACCAAGGCGAUGACGGGUAGCUGGUCUGAGAGGAUGGCCAGCCACAUUGGGACUGAGACACGGCCCAG